rnacentral:misc_RNA from 1 species
GUGCCUGCAAAUUAUGCUCCAAUGGGACCUCAGAUACCCGCUCAGCCCCAUGCUGGGAUACGUGGUGUUAAUGCUGUUUCUUCGCAACAUCAACUACCUCGGCAGCCUGCUCUUCUGGGUGCACCUGCAAAUUAUGCACCAAUGGAGCCUGAGAUCCCUUCCCAGCCCAGUGCUGGCGUAGUUGGUGCUCAUGCUGUUUCGUUCCAACCUCAGUUACCUAGGGAUCCUAGGUUUUUGGGUGCAUCUACAAAUUAUGCACCAAUGGAACCUCAGAUUCCUUCUCAGCCACAGGUCAGUGUUUGUGCAAAUUCGGUGUCUUCGGAAGCUCCAACAUUCCUUCUACCAUAUGCUAAUUCAUCACCUU